rnacentral:rRNA from 1 species
AUUGAACGCUGGCGGCAGGCCUAACACAUGCAAGUCGAACGGUAACAGGAAGCAGCUUGCUGCUUCGCUGACGAGUGGCGGACGGGUGAGUAAUGUCUGGGAAGCUGCCUGAUGGAGGGGGAUAACUACUGGAAACGGUAGCUAAUACCGCAUAAUGUCGCAAGACCAAAGAGGGGGACCUUCGGGCCUCUUGCCAUCGGAUGUGCCCAGAUGGGAUUAGCUUGUUGGUGGGGUAACGGCUCACCAAGGCGACGAUCCCUAGCUGGUCUGAGAGGAUGACCAGCCACACUGGAACUGAGACACGGUCCAGACUCCUACGGGAGGCAACAGUGGGGAAUAUUGCACAAUGGGCGCAAGCCUGAUGCAGCCAUGCCGCGUGUAUGAAGAAGGCCUUCGGGUUGUAAAGUACUUUCAGCGGGGAGGAAGGGAGUAAAGUUAAUACCUUUGCUCAUUGACGUUACCCGCAGAAGAAACACCGGCUAACUCCGU